CCUGGUGGCUCAGACGGUAAAGCGUCUGCCUACAAUGCAGGGGACCUGGGUUCAAUCCCUGGGUCAGGA
rfam:Ovis aries breed Texel chromosome 3, whole genome shotgun sequence.